UUUGUUCACUCUCCUUCAAAGGCUUCCGACAUUAGUAUCUUAUAAUUACUUUUGUUUGUGCUAGUGCCGGAGGUCUUUAAGGAAAGUGAACAA
rnacentral:pre_miRNA from 1 species